GUGGAGGUUUGGCUCAGUGGCUACUUCCUCAUAUUGUCCAAUGAUCUCACCCUGUCGGUCCGCGGGCCUUGGGUACGAUACCACGGGCGCUGCCCUCCACCUUU
rnacentral:vault_RNA from 1 species